rnacentral:lncRNA from 1 species
ACUGAAUUUGACGACGCCGCCUUGAUUGCGGUUGAACUUAGAUUACGACCACCGUGACCAUGUUUCCAAGAUUCCGACUGUAAAUAGUGUAAAGUAUUCACAAAUCACAGAAAUUAGACACGGAUCUACAAAACCUAAUUCGACACAUUUUUUGGGGGAAAUAAACACCCUAGAAUUUGCGACCUAAUCAACUGAACGCGAACCCUAAUCUCAUCAAACAAAAAAGAAGAUCAAAUCAAACUUACCUUGAGCCAUCCGGUGGAAAACGCAACGCUUUUCCUCUGUUGCCCUGGUAGAAAAACUCGGGAGCUUUUUAGGAAUAAACCUUGAGAUACAACCGGAGUGUUCAGAGAGUACGAUCCGACGAAAGAUGUGGCGACGGCGGUUACGGCGGUGGUAGCGUCCAUCCAAUCAGCAAUCAAAGAAACCUAAACCUCAAAUCACCUGGAAGAUUUGGGGGGAAAUUGAAAACGAAGCAGCCGAAAUAAAAUCUCGUUUUUUGUUCGAGUCAAAUUUCAUGUGUGAAUAGUGAGAUUAUAUAGGGACCGAAGUAAAACCAAUCCUGAAAGAUCGAGAAGCAUUAAAUCCAAGACUGAUAAAACUCCACGUAGCUACUAACAACGUGUCCGAUUGUCGAUCUCAAACACGUCAAACACGUCUGUAUGAAACCAAUCAGAAAUUUCUUAAAAAAAACAUAUUCUAAUUCUAUGGUCGAUCUUUAAUUUCAUGUUAUCUAAUCUCCCAACUGUUUUUUUUUAUCAACAUUUUUUUGAUGUUGAUUUCGUUUUAAAAAAAACAAGGUGUUAUUUAAAAAUUCUGAACAUGCAAUUUUUUAUAAUUUAUCUAACUCCGAACCAGAGUUUUUUUAAUAGUUAAAAUCAAGAUUUGAGUGCACGCUAUCUGGAAAGUGGACAUUUAUGAGGAUCCAGGUUAAGAUCUGCCCUAAUACCCAAAUAGGGUUAGUAUUUAUAUAGAUUUUUCUUCCAGAUCUCACGAUUUCUCUCCAUUUCUAAAAUACACUUAUUAUUAAUUAUUGAUUUAACUUGAUUACUAAUUUUUUUUAAAUACACUUAGCGCUAUGAAGACGCUAUAGAGGCGUUAUAGCACGCUCUAUCUCCAUAGCGCAGGUAGCCAACGUUACGUUCUAUCUCCAUAGCACAGGUAGCCAACGUUACGCUCUAUCUCCAUAACGCAGGUAACCAGCUUUACGCUCUAACUCCAUAGCGCAGGUAACCAGCGUUACGCUCUAUCUCCAAGUUCGGCUCGAUUGGUUCGGUAAAAAGUAUAAAAAAAAACAAAAAAUAUUAUAUUUAGAAAAAAUGGAAAAGUAACACAGAUGGUAAAUCGUUUGCUUAGUAUGCGAGAGGUGGAUUCGAUCCUUCAUGUCUUUAAAUUAUUUAUUUUAACUUGCAGAUUAAAUUCGAGCCCGAGCCUGGAUAACUACUUAACGAGCCGAGCUCGAGUCUGGCUCUAUAAGCAUUGAUACCCUAUCCAUAGCGCAGGUAGUCAACGCUACGCUCUAUCUCCAUAGCAUAUAGGUGUCUCCAUAGUGCAGGUAGCCAGGUUUAAGUUCUAUCUCCAUAGCGUAGGUGUGAACUCAAACCUUGACUUAAAAUACAGGAAAAUUAACUGAAUUGUUUGCAUUGAUAAAGAUGAAAGAAGAUGAUUUGGUAAAAUAUUUAUUGUGAUUUGGGAAAACAGGAGAUCAAAGUGGGCAUUUGAUCGAAGUGAUUAAUUAGCAAAUGACAUUAAGCUUGGUCGGAGGAGGAAGAGGAGGAGCUUUGUCGUAUUUCCUGCUGAUCAUAAAUCGCUUCCACUGUCGGAUCACAGCCUGACAUUUGUCCAUGUCCCCAUUCUCCAGUAAAACAGUGGGCGGAAGAGAAUCUAGCUCAUUCAGCACCUUGAUGAUGUCGUUGACUAACCUCUCGGCAAGAGUACAGCUGAAGUCUUCACGUAUCACAACACGCAGAACAGUAACAUCUUCAGCGUCGGCCGGCAUGCUGUACGCCGGCACGAUCCAUCCGAACCGACGAAGGUAGUCCGAAACCUCGAACUCGGUGUGUCUGGAGUGGUCUUUAAGAGAAAAAGCCAGAAGUGGGACUCCGUUGUCCUUGGAAACGAUAUCGAAACGUCCGGUGCUCACCAGACCAUCUUUGAGCACCAUCGCAUUCUCCUGGCAAUUCUCCAUUAUGUUCUUGUAACCCUCGAAUCCCAGUCGGAUAAGUUGGUAGUACUGCGCGAUGAUCUGAGAAGAACCCUUGGAGAAGUUCAAGGUGAAGGUGGGUUGGUCGGCGCCGAGGUAAUUGAUGUGGAAGAUGAGUUCGUCAGGGAGAUCUUCUUUGUUCCUCCACACUACCCAUCCAAUGCCGGCGUAAACAAGCCCGUACUUGUGUCCACUCACGUUUAUGCUCUUCACCAAGGGUAAUCUGAAGUCCCACUCCAAAUCUGGGUACAAAAACGGCGCGAUGAACCCACCACUCGCCGCGUCGACGUGGAUGGGCGUCUCCCAUCCCGUUUUCUUGUUCUUCUCCAGUAGUAAGUCGUUCAGAAGCUUCACGUCCUCGAAUUCUCCGUUGAGUGUCGAACCCAAUAUCGCCGCGAUGCAGAUGGUGUUCUCGUCCACCAAAUCCACCGCCUUCUCUGGAUCCAUCACGUAGUAGUCUCUUCGUAGCUUCACCUCUUUCAGCUCAACCUCGAAGUACCUCGCAAAUUUCUCCCAACACACCUGAACGUUGGCGCCGGUCACUAUAUUGGGUUUGUCAUAAGGUUUUCCCUCGGCCUUCCGUUUGUUUUGCCACUUCCGUUUGAAGGCCAGACCGGCAAGCAUGAUCGCUUCCGACGAACCCACGGUUCCAACCCCGACGGCCGUCUCUGAUUCUCCCAGAGGACAGUUGAACAGAUGAGCUAUCAUGUUCACACAUCGAUUCUGCAAACAGUUCAGUAAGUAGUUUACACAUCUGAAAUUAAUGCACGCCGAUCAUUCCCACGUAUAUAUACUCCGAUACGUACCUGUAGUUCGGUGGUGAUCGGAUACUCGUCCAUAUCGACGUAGUUCUUGUUGAUGGACGCCAUCAUCAGCUUGUCACACUCAGGCUCCAUCCACGUCGUCACGAAAGACGCCAGAUUCAGCCUAGGAUUACCGUCGAGCAUAAGCUCGUCGUUGAUGAUCUGGUAAGCCGCAUCUUUGGGUAUCGAAUUCUCCGGCAUUCGAAACCUUGGCAGAGAUUUACGGACAUAGCGGGAGCCAAAGGUGGAGGUAAUGGAACAAUCCGAAUCGAAAGAGUGAUCACAGGAUAUAACCAUGUCGACCGACGAUCGGAAAAUCAAAACACCAAGUUAUUUAUUAAGUGGAAACCACGCCCGUUUUUAUAACCCCCCGUUCCUACUAAGUGGUGGGGUCAGUAAAGUGGGACCUACCUUUUAAAAAAUAGGACCCAACUAAGAUUUAUCAGAUUUUUUUUUUUAAAGCAAGAUUUAUCAAAUUGGUGAAUGCCAGAUCGACCGGACAGAAAUCUGCCGGUCACCGAUGUCGGUAUUCUGAUUCCUGAGAUAUCACAUGCAUGGUCGGAAAAACUUAUCUUAACUCUCAACAAAUUUAAUCCUUACAUUAAUAGUUACAGUGAUCAGUUAAUCUAAUCUUCCUGUUUAAAUUUAAAUGAGUUUUGGAAUAUUAUUUUUUUAGACAAAACUAAGGUGGUUUGUUAAAAGACUAAGUCAUUAAUUGAAGGUUAAUUAAGAAAAAACGUGUACAUUAAAGCAACCCACUAAGAUUAAUCAAGUCAAAUAAACCGUGCAAGACUUAAAAAGUUAUGAAUUAUUAAACAAACUGGUGUGUAUUCUAAAUUUUAAUAAGAAGAAAAAUCAAGAAAGGCUCUAAAUAUUAAAUAGGAUAAAAUAUUAGACUAUCAGGGCAAAAAAGGAGGGGGGAAUGUUGAUGGCAAAAAAAAAAGGUUUGCAGGAAAAGAGACAACAAAAGUUUACAGGAAUUACAGUCAUUGAAUCAACAUAAUUAAUGCACACAUACUCAGAUGGUUUGCAAAUAAAUUAACACAGGCUUAUGUAUGCUACAACCCUACCAAUCUGCAAGACUGCAACCAUCAGAAUUAAUGCAAUUCUAUGAUACAGAGAUGAGUAGAUGAUGAAUGGCUUCAUUGAUUUUCGUUUCUAAUGCAAAUGCUGCAGCUCCAGUCAUAUCUGAUCAAGUGAUCAUCAUUCAAUUCAAUCAUCUAACCACAUGAUUAAUGUUAACUAUAAACGGACUGUAUUGGUUGUUGGGUUGCAUCGAAUCAUGACGAAAUUGGGUCAUAUGGAUAUGAAAGCCAAGGAUGUCUCAAUGCAUCUGAUGCUGUCGGACGUUUCUUUGGGUUUACUUCAAGAAGAUAACCCACAAAGUCAAUAAAUCCUUCAUCUCCCAUUGGCAAACGAUGUCGCAAGGAAGACUUCUUAGGGAUCAAGUAUUCUAAUCUGUUUGUGUCCUGGAGCCAAAAUACUAUAUUCAAUAAACAUCAUAAACUAACAAAUUGUCAAUUCUAGUUCAAAGUUUUAAACAAUACAAACUAUUUCGGUCAAUCAACCUCAUUUCUGGACAAUUCAUUAUUCAAUAAUUACCUCUAUUGGUUAUGGGAAACCAAUUACUUGGAUCAUAUAAUCGGAUUAAUGCUUUAAAUAUUUUAAGCAAGCUCAAAAAAAAACUAACCUGAUUAUUACCUCUAUUGCUUCUGGGAAACCAAUUACUUGUUGGAUCAUAUAAUCGGAUUAAUGCUUUAAAUAUUUUAAGCAAGCUAAAAAACUAACUAACCUGAUUGCGUUCGUAAAGCGUAUGGUUCUUGCUAAAAUAUUUGUAUAUGUCCGAUCCCUUCGCUAGCAUACUUUGGUCAAUGGAACCUAUAAUUCCAAUCACGCGUGCAAGCAAUGUUGCUGGAGAAUCAUUUUGGAAAAGAACCUGGACAAUGACAAAAGAAUGAACACUUGUGAUUAGAUUAGUAUUGACCAACCUAAACAAAUAAAUAAAAGAAUAAUAAUAAUUAAUAACAAAUUCAUAAACGAUAUUAUUUUAACUUUUAAGUGUUGUCUAAGUUUCUAGUUUGAUUAAUUUCUAGUUUAUAUUGAAAAUUGAAACAGAGAUUUACAUGAAUUUACAAGUUCGUAUGUAUAAAAGUUUAAACUCAUACUAUACAAGAAAACAUGAGGGGGAAUGGUCGUUCGGAGAGAACAUAGGUGCCGAGGCACACCUAAUCAGGGUACAACCCUUCAUUUGAUUAAUGUGAACUUUUAAUUCUAUCAAAAAGAAAAACAAUAACAACUAUAUAUAAUUCUGCUUCCUAGAGAAAAAACAAGGCAAUCAUUUUACAACAAGAAAACUUUACCUAACAAAAAAAAAUCAUUAUAAAGUAAUAUAAUGCAAAACUUACAUUUCCAGAGCAAAGCUCGGCCAAGAUACAACCAAGUGACCAUAUAUCUAUUUUCUUGUCAUACGGAAGACCCAGAAUGACUUCAGGUGCACGAUAAGACCGUGAUUGUACAUACGAGCAAAGAUGAUCGGUUUCAAAGCAACUGCUUCCAAGGUCAAUGACCUUAAUUUCACACCUACUAUAACUUUUUACCAAAAUAUUUUCAGGUUUCAGGUCGCAAUGAAUAAGACCAAGACCAUGCAGAAAUUGAAGUGCCUCCAGACAUUGUAUAGUGAUAGACUGAAAACAAAAAUAACAUAUUAAGAGAAAAAACAAAUUGAUCAAAAUAAUUGGUCUCAGGUAAAGCUACGAAACCUGCAGUCUUGGCAUUGUAAAAUAAACCUCUCCCCCAGAUUCUCUGUUGAACUUGUGGAAUUCAUACAAAUUUGCUUUGAGCAGUUCACAGACAAUCAAUAAAUGCUCCUAAAUAAUAGCAAAACAUGUCUCAAAUUAAUUAUUUUAUAAAAAUACCGAAACCAAAAAACUUCAAUUCUUAAACUUGAUCUGUAUUUUAAGAUAAUUUAACGACAUAAUGAUUAACAUUAACCUAAAAAACAUCAAUUCUGUAUUACCCUGUAGUAGAAGUAAUCAUAUAGCCGUAAAAUAUGGUAUUUAUCUCCUGGAUCAUUCUUGUUGAUAAACUUUAAAAGCUUGAUUUCAUCAAGACUCUGAUCAAAAAAGUCUUUGUUGUUCUUUAUAAUUUUUACACAAACAUCCAUCCCUGUAUGCAAGUCAUGUGCUUGGAUAGCUUUACUGAAAGCAGCAGAGCCUAGGUAUUCUGUAACAUGAUAACGCCCCGCAAUCACUGAAUUUAGAACAACGUUGAAAUUUUUAUCUUCCUCAAAUCCAGUUCUGUGCAAGUAAAAUUCGAAAGAGAUUGUUUCAGAUACAAAUAUACAAUAGACAUCAGAAUAUUAGCUGACUAUAAAAAAUAGAGAAAGAAGUAGAAAGACAUCUUAAAUAGGGAGGAAAGAAAGAAAAAACCAUGAAAAAUAAGUAGAACAGAAAAUAACAGGCAAUGAAAUAACAAAUAAUUAAAUAAUAUACCUAUUUUUUCUGUGAACAAUCUUAAGAUGAAAAGUUUCAAAUUCUUCUCCUUGAGUUAUAAUCUGUCUUACUUGUUCUUGCACAGCAGCUGCUUCUUCAUCUUCUAAUAUUUUCCUAGGGUCUUCUUCUCUUCCUUCACUAGCUUUAUCGUCCUGGCUUAUUCCAGUAUCCUCUUUUUCAAUAUACUCAGCAUUUGAAGAUGUAGAUACAAUUGAAUUUCUUGAUUCAUCAGCAUUUGCAUAGCUACCAUCGCCAAAGCUUUUCCCAAGAGAAGAAUCGCUGUUUUUGCGUCUCCAUGCGGCAGCUAUAUAUUCAUUUUCUAUCAGAUCAUUUCCAAAAUCGUCAUCAUCUGCGAGAGUGAUACCCUUGUUUGACCAUGAAGAUUUACCAGAUUCUUCUUGAACUGGGGUUUCAAAGUUCAGUGGAGAAGGAAAAGAAAAGCCAACAUCACCAAAUCCAGGUUGAUGUUUGCCUUUCUCGGAAGCCAGACUGCAAUUUUCACUUUUUGUUUGGGAUUUUUCCCACGUGCGCCUAUCCAAGUAUUCAUUCCUGUUAGAUGAAGAAUACAUAGAUACCCCAAUACCAAUGUCACGAUCAUGAAAGUACUCGGUUUCCCCUUCACUGCACUCUCCAGCCAAACUUCCACGUAUUUCACUUCCAACAUCAGCAACAUCACUAUGCAUACCCACCCCAAUAGACCUGACAGAACCACGUUGAUCUUCGUAAGUGCAUAAGUUAUCAUGGCGUGACCGUUCAUUUUCAUUUGGAACGCCUCCUUUUUCCAAAAUUUCAAGCACGUUAUCCUGAGGAAUAAAAUCUUGCCAAACAGGUUCAGAACCCAUCAUCUUGUGUUCUUUACCGGGAAUCAAUUGCCCAUCGUAUUUGGAUAUUAAAUUAUCACUGUCUGUUUUCUCAAGUAUUUUAGCUGAAAAUCCCGCUGGAUUUUCAGAGGUAGAAACCUUCUCAUCUUUUUUUGAUGGAAAAUACUGUUCACCCACAAAGUAUGAGUCAUCUUCGGCAAAUGAGUGAUCGUCAUUCUCCUCUCUCGUAAGGAUACUUUUAUGUUGAUCACGAGAAUUACUAUGGCCAGCUCCCUUCUCAUUGUCACUUGAAUAGUCAAUUUCAUGAGCAAGAAACCACGCUUCAUCUUGUAUAGGCUGCCUUGUAUACCCAAGAUCAUCAUCGUCAUCAUAUUCAUCAGAAUCCCAAUAUUCAUUAGGAUAAUCAAGUGAUUCUUCACCAACAGUAGCAAAUCCAGAUACCAAAUCAGAUGUAUCAUCGGUCAUACCUUGGCUAACAGACAACCAAUUACUUCCAACCGCUCUUUUACCUAAUGUUACCGAUUUAAAAAUAGCCAUUAGAAAAUAGAAACUGAUCUAAAUUCUAAAUAAAUAAACCUCAUUAAAAGUAUUUACCUAUGAUAAGUAAAAAUUCUAAAUCACUGGUUUCAAAGUAUGCAAACCAUCAGUUCAAUUGUUAUAAAUCUACACCUUUCAACAGUUAACCAAAAGUAGUUUAAAUCUAAAUGCCCUAUACUUAUUUGAUAUCUAACCUCAAUUGACAUUCCCAGUGAUAAAACAGCUUAGAAUUUUUGGUGAUUAUAACUGAUAAUGUCCAAUCCAGGCAGGAGGGAUCAAGGCACCACAGUGUUGGGUCCCAAUGUUGGAUCUGAGUAAAUAUGAAGGGAAGAAAUCACUCAUUUGACGAUCACUCAAAGACCAGUUAACCUUCCAAGAAGUCUCCCUAUUUACAGGAUCCCUCUAGGGCAUCAUCCUUGGGCGUGGCUGACUUUGAUCCUUGUCAAGGUCGUCUGGUCUAGUCAAAAGACAGUAAAUGGUUUGAUCCAGGGAAAUGUAACGAAAGAAGGGAGCAAGGGACCCAAACAUGCCGCAAGCUCCAAUUAGGUUACCUAACUGGCAUAUUGGUCUACGUCAACUCGGGUUUCCCAAUCCAAAAGUGAGGUUCGGCACAGAAGGGAACCAAUGAUGCGACGAUCAAUAAACUAUUAGUUUUUGACUUUCUCACAAGUUCAAACAUGAAAGAUGAGCAUAAUCAUGUGAUUCAUUUUUUAAAAAUUUCAAAAUAAAUGAAAGAUAAAUUAGUUCAAAGGUGACGCACUGACACAUGCAUGAAAAGAAAAAAUAGAAGAUUAAAAAGAAAAAAAUGGAAAUACCUGAAAUCGCUUCAACAAACGGGACAUCAAGCAUUGAACCAACGAAAAAAUUGUCAUUCGCAUUGGCAACGAUUGAAUCAGAACCAUGAUUUUUUUCCUCCCAUUGAAUGUUAACUAACUUAUCCACUGAUUUAAGUCUUACAUGAGGCAACCUAGGUAGAUCGUCUCGAUGAUUUUCUGUGGCAACAGACAUUUCAGGAAAAAGAAACCUGUUUGUAUCUUCAAAGACCGCCUUUGUCGACAAAUUGAAAUCACUUCUACCGGCAUUCUUUUCAUUAUUUUUCUUGGGAUCCACAGGGCUGGAAAAUGACACAUCAUCCUUGGUUGAAGGAAGAACAUUCUUUACAGAGUAAUCCCUCCAGGGUUCUUUGUCGUUGGACCAUUUAUUGUCUGUAUAAUUCUCUGCAGAUGAAGCCCCUUUAGAUUUCAAUCUGUUCUUUGGAUUACCCAGUAGUUUAUCUUCAUCCUUAAAGACAAUUGUAUCUCUAGCCGAAGAAACAAUAUUCUUACCUGACAAAUCCCUCUUAUCAAAUCCUAGAAGAUCAGACUGAUGGUGCAAUGGCCUCCCAGUUCCAGACAUCGACAUAUCUGCAAAAUUGGUUUUAAAAACAUCACUAUCCAUUACUCGUUGAUCUGUCCGUUCAUCCAUCAACCCAAAACUCCAUGGAUAAAGAUCAACAGAAUGACUCUGAUCAUUUCUACUUGACGAUUCAACAAGAUUCCUACCAUCUGACCCAGUCCCCCCCUUUCCAUUCCCAACAUUCCCAAUCUCAAUCUCCUUGACAAUAAAGUCAUCCGAGCUGUCUAUAGUCGCUAGCCUCACGCCCCCUUUAUCUUCAUUCUUAUCUUCCAAUCGAACAUUAUGAAGCAGUCCAUUCAAAUCCGAUCUACUGUUGAUCUCUCCUAUCAAAGCUGCCUCACCUCUAGUGAAUUUGUUCCUCUUCAAAUAUUCCAGAACCACAUCAACAUUGUCAGCCAUUCAGCACUUCCGAAACCGACAACCCAAGCUCGCGUCUCCACCACACCACCCUAAAAGCCUAAACAAACAGACGACGGCGAGGGUAGAAAUCAAAUCAGGAGAACUCUAUUCCUCAAUCCCACAGUUUGGAUAUCAAAAAAACAAAACCCCUCUUUCACAAGAACCCUAAAAACGGCCGUGUAGAUUCGAGAGAGGAGAUAAAGAAAAACCCUAAAAACGGCCAGCUAUUCAAAAGAAGUGAACUUUAAAACGUUUACUUACCGAUGGUGGUGGUUCUGGUGAGAUUGGAAGAAUUCAAAGUGGAGAUUUGCUUAACUGUUGGUGGCGGUGAUGGUGGUCGACGGCAGCGACAGAAACGUGGAGAUUGUAUCACGAGAACACAAAUACACAUCUACUUCCAUAUUUACAUUAAUUAAAAUAUAUUAAAUAAUCUAAUGUGUGACCCCACCAACUACUAACAUCUCUAUUACUUUAAUCACUUAAUCAAAUGUAGUUUCAAACUAACUACCUUUUAACUGUUGUUAACUUUUUUUUUUUUUUUUUUUUUUUUUUUUUAAAGUAAUUAGAUUUCAUUUAAAAAUACGAACAAUACCCAAAUUAAAUAAAGUAAUUAAAUUACGUUUUAGUAAAUAUCGAGUCAGUCCUUAAAGGUUGUUAAGUUUCACUUGGCUGGAUUAAUGCAGAGGGUGUAGGGUGAAUCGUAUGUGACCACACAUCUUUUUUUGUUUUGAAAUUUAUAUAUUAUCAAAUAGUUUUAAUUCAAAAAAUAUAUAUAAAAAUAUAAAACAGAAAUAAAAUAAAAACCUAUAUAUUGAGUCAUUGACUCUCUUUUAUUAACUAUAUAUAUAUAGUAACUAUAUACGUUAUCUCAAGAGGUUGUUUUCUCAUACUUUCAUCAUAAAUGUCUUCAAAAGAUGACAAUAACUUUUCUUAUAACACUUUAGAUCAAAGGUUGUUAAUUAACUUGUUAUAUAUAUUAUAUGGCGGACACCGCACCAAAAACACGUUGCAGACAUCGCAGUCCGGCCCCCUAUCGCUGCCGUCCGGUCCCCUAUCGCUGCCGUCCGGCCCCCUAUCGCUGCCGUCCAGUCUCCUAUCGCUGUCGUCCAGUCUCCUAUCGAUGUUGUCCAUUCCUCUGCACUCGCGACAACAUUAGGUUCGGUUUCCGUCACUCGCGAUACCAUGUGGUUUGGUACCGCGAUUCCUGGUUCUGGGUACCUGGAACUACCGCGUCAGUUCUAGGUGACGCCGGAUCCGUGGCCCAUCCGCAGCCAGUUUCAGUUGCGGACGUUCGCAGGUGAAUUGCCUAAACACAUAGAGAUCGAGAUUAAUUUAACUGAUUACAGUAAUUAUUAUACUUUAUGCUAGUUCAGUAUUCGAAUGUUGAUGUGUACGUAUUUUUAUUAAAUUUUCACUACGAUUUAACUAAUUAUAUAUCAUAUGACUCUAGUAUACCAUUCGGAGAUAGACAAAUAGAUGAAAACAAACCAUAUCGAUAAACUGUCGGUUAGCCAAACAUUGCCGCUACCACAAAGUCCAUAUAUAGCUCUUCAAUUAUGAUCAUGUGACACAUGGAGAUUAGCUAAUUAACUGAUAAUUACAAUUUAAUGAUCUUACUUUAAUGAUCUUACUUUAAUGAUCUAAGAUUUCUAUAUCAAGAAUAUAAUUAUAUAUAUUUAUAGAUAGAAACAUACCUUGUGUUGAAUCCAUUAUAAUGAAAGUUACAAACUUGAUCUCCGAUUAUUUUUUUGUCUUUUUUAAUACAUCAUAGAUCUUUUAAGGUUUGAAAUUUCAUACACUGAUGAUAUAUAUGAAGAUGUUACUAUUCCGAAUACGUGAAGAUUAACUAGUUCUUUCGAAUAUGGUAUUAAUAUAGACUGAAAGAAAUAUGACAAUUGUGAAUAUGGCAUUAAGAUUAACUAGUUCUUUGGUUGUAGCAAAUUUCCCUUCUCCCAGGGUUAUUUGAAAUGAAAUAUUACCAACUACUAAAAUUUUUACUUGACCAAAACCUUUAACUGGAAUAUUACAUAUUUUGACCGUGGCCCUUCACUUUCCACUCUGUUUCAAGGAUUUAGCCACGGCCAGUUAAGGAUUAGCCACGGAUUACAGUCGUGGCCCUUCAUCACUCAAAAAAUUUAGCCACGGCAAAAUAAAAUUAGCCACUGAAUUAUGCCGUGGCUAAUUUUUUAACAUUAGCCACUGAAUUAUGCCGUGGCUAAUUUUUUAACAUUAGCCACGGAACAUAGCCGUGGCUAAAAUAAAUGGCCGUGGCUAAUAUUUAGCCACGGAAAACCAUUUCCGUGGCCAAAAAUCAGUAACCACCAGACUUACAGCCACGACACCUCCCGUGGCUAAUUCCCGUGGCUAAAUCAAUUUAGCCACAGAUUUUGCCAUUUAGCCAGUGAACUUGGCCGUGGCUGUUUCCCUGUUUUCUUGUAUAUAGUGCAUGUUUCAAGAUUUUUUUCUUCCUAAAUCCAUAUUUUUAAGGGUAUUUCAGUAUAAAUCCAUAUUGAGACACCAGUGUCGAUCUACUAGAUACUUUUUGUCUGAUUCUUUGCUUGAGCUUUACAAAUUUAAUUUGGUUGAAUGAUCUUUAUCUUUGUGAUAUCACUACAAGAAAUAUAAGACCUAGUAUGACGGUCUUAAGAUCACGUACGGAUUUUCGCCGUCAUAAGUGAUCAAUGGCGGAAAUCCGCCAUUUUAAGACCGCCAGGACGAUAACCGUCAUGAUAACCCCAUAUCCGUCAUCUAUUAUUCAUCCCCAUUUUUCAUCAAAAAAAGUGUACAUGGCGGAAAUCCGCCAUUGAAUCUGAAAUUUUUCGUGGGAAUUGAAAAUUAUAAGAUGGCGGAUAUUCGUAGUAUUUUCCGAUCCGUUAUUGCAAAAUUGGGCAGAGGCUUCGUUCAUGGGUCUAGCUGGCGGAAGGGUAUUUUGUAAUUCUAAAUUUUCUCUCUCUCUCUCUCUCUGGUUUUCUCUUGAUUUGGGAGAAUUUAUUAUGGUUUUGUUUUGAAAUGGAGAACUAACUAUAUAUAGCUAGUUGGGACAUUCUAUGCUCUGAAUUUUUCUUUAAUUUAACAUUUCUUCUAUAUAUGUCCAUCGCCUUGUAAGCCUUUCAAAUAGAUCUGUCAUAUUUAAAUGAGGAUUUCCGCUAUUUUAACAGCAAACCUAGUUGGUCUCAGGCCGACCUUAAAUGUCAUUUAUGGCGGCAAUACUAUAUGUGAAUCUUUCUACGUAUAUCCGGUCCACUCCCGUCCAUCGACAAACUAGUGGACGCAACUUCAGGGAAUGAAUUGCUCUCUAUGAUGGAUAAACACUCAGGCUACAAUCAGAUACUCAUGAAAGAAAAAGAUGAGAAAGUUACAUCAUUCAUCACAGACUGAGGAACAUUAAUUAUACUCGAUUUAAGGUCGGUUUUAGAUAAUCUCUUAGGGUUUUAUUUAUUUUUUGUUUUACGUUUAACAGGGCAUUUUGAUCGAUUGAUUUUUCUUCUGAUUAGGUGGUUAAAAAUUUCUCAAAAUUUGUGUUCUGAUUCUUCUCAAAACUGUUGAUAUUGUUAUGAGCUAGAUAAGUUGACAUAUGUAUUUGGUAAAAUAUUUUCGGAAUUUAAUCCGCAUGUCUUCUUCUUAGAGAAUUAUGAUUUUAAUAUUUUCAUUCGGUUGAUCUUUACUUAGGAUGAGUUUAUCAGAGUUUUAUUCAAUUUUAUUUGAAUGUUUAGUACAUAAUUAAAUAAAUAAAAAUUAAAGUACAUACACUGAAACUCGAACCAUGGACCUUCAGUCACCUUAAUAUUGGUGAUGACCAACUAAGCUAAUCGAUCAAGUUUAUGCGGUCGUAAUAAAUCCCUAUAUAUAGAUCGAGAUCAAGCAAAUCACAACUAUAUAUAUAUAGAUAGAUAGAUAAACCCCCCUAUGCAGGCGUCGAUCAAUUGUUGGAGCGCCAUUCCGAUCUACCUAAGCUGAACUCCAAACUAGGUUUUCUCGAAAUGUCUUUCUGGCGUGGAAAAGUAUAGACACCAUCCUGCAUUAACUAGAUUAUAUGAGAUAAUUGAAUCAUCGAUCGAAUAUUCAAAUUUCGGGUAGAAAUAGACGGACAUGAUCACCUGUUUAUCACGCGGCGCAAAGUUGUGGCCACCACUGCCAUUGUCGCCGGUCGAGUUACUUCGCAGCCAAGAUCUUGGAGAAUAGGUAUAGAUUAAUUAUAUGAGUAAUUAAUGAUUUAAUUGCUGAUUAGUUAGUUAACUAACUUAACGGAUUAACUAACAAAAAUAAACCUGCAAGACAUGUACUUAUAAAUUAAUUUGCACCACUCCCAAAAUACAUCUAGCUGUGUUUAAAACCACAGUGUUGUUGGACUGUGGAAUCCGCAGAAGAUCGAAGAGAAAAAUCACAAUAAAUAGCAUGAAAACAAAACCCUAAUCCUCAUCGAUUUCUGUAGUUAAGACUGAAAACCCUAAUAUCCGGGCAAAAAGAAGAACAUGCAUGCAUGACAUGUACUAUAUCGCAUGACAAUAUGACAUGAUCGAUCGAUAACGAGUAUUUCGAAGUUAUAAUCAAUUGAAUCACCUUGACGAGUAGUUCAGAUUGAAUCCAUGGGUCUUGACAGACGAUGAUCCUGCCGAUAGACUGUUGUGAGAUUCAAAGAUCACAGGGCGGAGAUUCAGAUCAGUCGUCACCGAUGACGGCGACGCGAGUUCUUCUGCAUGCACCCAUGUACCGGUGAAGUUAAAUAGACAGUUAUAUGAGAAAUGAACUGAAGAUCCUAAGAAUUACCGGCGGAGGAGGAAGCUGCAAGCUUGUCAGCAGCUUUAACAGUUCUAUACAUCUGCAGCGAAAUUACAGCAAAUUAAACCCACAAAAGAAGAUAUUACAGAUUAGCAGAAGAAGAAGAAGAAUCUAACCUGCAAAUGACUCUUGACAUGGGAGAGAGUGAGGUCCUUGAUAUCCAUGAGCUCAAGAACAAGCUUUGGAGUAGCGCCUGUAUAGAGAUUAUCGUUUCAGAAUGAUGUUUCGAGAAUUAGAAAAGGAAGGAAGAACGUACGAUUUUGGCCGCCGAGGAGGUCGACGGCAUGGACGAAGCGAGCGUGCAAGGAAGUAGUCCAUCGUAUUCUUGGAGCUCUCAUGGAAGUGACCUUCUUCAUCAUCGACGAUGUCUGUAGUUUCGAGUUCGUCGUGAAUCUCGAACGAGAUGAACUUGCACAUGUACCUGUACCCGUACCAUUGAUCUGGCUGUUCAGAUAUAGUACGUCUUUUAACCUUGUCGGUGUGACGGUCAGUGGCACCAUCCUAUGGCGGUGAAAGGGUGAUCUAAAACCAGCACUGCUUGAGUGCAACAAGGAUGACGACGACAGAAGAUUCGACGGCGGUGAGGAUGAAGAUGUCGAUGAAGAAGUUGACGAAGACGAUGUAGAACAGUAUGGUGAGAUGUGACGGCGGUAGUAGCUGGUUCCCAUCUUGUUGGGAAUGAUGGACGGAAAUGGAAUCGUUUGUCUAUUAUUAUGGUAAACAGGCACUCCUUCCAUAAAAGAUCGCAUCUUGCUCUUGGCCAGAAUCUGAGUCCCACGUGUGUGCGUUGCCGCCGGUGAAUUCAUCCCCCCAUCAUUCGUCGCAGUGUCCGGUGGACAUAUCCUCAAAGACAGAUCAGGACUUGACAGCAUCGUUCCCUACCUCCCUACCUACCUAACUUCGUCGGGGACAAAAUUAAAUGAACCCAAUUCAAGAAACUGAAACUGAAACUGAAGAUCAAACCCUAGCCGGAUAUCGUUUGUACCAGAGAUUAUAGGCAGCAGCAGAAAGUGAUUCCAAACCCCAAAGCAUAGUGAGAAAGAUAGAAAGAGACAAGACAGAUCUGAUCAUUAUUUGAUCUGUCCAGAUCGAGUGAAAGAUAAAUUAGUUCAACUGUUCAUAUUAACUAGAAAAAAAUACUGUUACCACCACUAUCAAUUUUAAUGACGUUUGAAAUUUGAAAAUAUCUAUAUAACAUAUUACCCAAAUCUGAGUCUGCAGCAAUCAAGAAAUGGAUAUCUGAAAUAAUAAUAUAACUAGCAAUUAUAAGGAAUUGAUGGAUUGAUUUGGUGUGUUAUUAGAGUAGUGAUUAUAUUAUCUGUGAAUUAAUUAGGAACUGUUGCUGCAAGGAGAAGCAGCAAGCAAGCAAGCUUUGGAUACCAUAAUGAAAGAUGAAUUCUUCAAGUUACUGUUUCCAAAAUCCAAAUCAUUUCAUCAUGAUGGCGAGUUUAAAGAAAUGGUAGCUAGCUAGCUAGCAAACAAACUAACCCUUAAACCUUAAUAUAUCGAUCUGAUUGUAAAUUUGAAUCUGAGAUUAUGGCUGGAGAAGAAGAUAAUAGAUGAUGAACAGCAGUAACAGCUGUACAGUGAACUUAAUUAUGAUGAAAAAGAUGGAUCCCCAGAGUGUAGAGAUACUGUCUGUUCUGUCUGUCUGGAUGACUGAGUGUUGAAUUUCUGAAUGCAUGCAGGUCCCAGAGAGCUUGGUUGCUGCUGAUGGUAAUAAUGAAAUUACACUGCUGGCUGGUUUGGAGAGGUUCAGAGUUCGACCAGUACAAUUAUUAAACAUUGAAGUCGAUCUAGAGUGUUCUGUAAGUCGACCAUGUAGAUACACUGUGCAUAUCGAUCUUGUGAUCGGUUAAUUGAAACUUUAUUGAAGAACUCAAGUUAGCUAGCUAGCUAGUUGAAUUGAUCAGCUUCUCGUUACUGGUUAGGGUAGAUCUAACUAGUUUUCCUGUAGCUACCUGUAGAUCGAUUGAUCAAUUCCUCAUUUUCCUAGCUACCCAACUAAUAAUUACAAUGGGAAAUUAAUCAAUCAAUGCAUGUCACAGUUAGACUUCCAUGUCUGUUCACUGUGUAUGGAUAGCAAAUGGGUGAACCGUGAACAGAUGAUGGCCGGCCACUGGUUACCUUAAUUAUAAUGUGUAUCCGAUCCUGGCUAGUUUGUCGAUCGGUCCCCGGUUAUAUAUACCACCGAUCGAUCGACCCCGUGGAAUUCUAUACAUGUGCUGCUACAGUUCUUUCCAAUAUAUUAUUUCUAAUUCAUUAUUUCCACAAUCCUAACCUUAUCAAACUCAAUUAAUCUUAUUUAAUUGUUAUCUUUGUUUGAAUCAUGUGUAUUUGAUUUCGGUCGAAUGUAACAUGUCAAAUAAAUGAUAAAUCUACUAAUAUCUCACGAGAUAUGUUUUUUUGAAUAUCGCACAAGAUGACGUUGUUAUACUAUAUAUUAGUAUUCAGGUGUGCCGUACAGUGCGAAUGCUAUAUGUGUCAAGUUAAUCUUGUCCAUCAGAUCGACUUUACGUCGUACAUGUGUUGUGCAGUAUAUUAUUUCGCGCCUAACAUGUGUUAGUGUCUUGUGCAGUAUGUUAUUUGCUUCAUUGUAAUAAAUAUUAUUUGUCACGAUUUGAUAACACAUGACGGCGCUAUAUAAAUACAAUUAGUUUUUGGUGCGUCGAAUCGAUCUAGUACGUCCUUGUUUAAACCAAUAUCUAUUUUAUUGUCACUCAUCCUAGCAGCGUAUUGAAAUACGUUCAGUCAGAUAUACUUGAUCAGUGUUUAAAAGAACGAGUCAGGUUUAUUUGACACACCAUGACGUUUUAAACUUCGACACACCUGAAGUGCGUCAUAUAUAUAUAUAUACACUCGAAAUUUAGAUUAUCAGAAACUUUAAUAGUUAAUGUGAUAAUUAGUUGAUCAAUUAAUUUUCUUUUAAUGUGUUUAAAGGAGAUUGAACCACUUACUAUUUCUUCACGUUUCAACUUGCUAUUCCAGUCGAUUGGUCUGCCGGCAAAGCAUUUAUACUAACUGUUAUUAAUGCUAGCUAGAUACCAUGGAUAGUUUGUCUAGCUAGAUACCAUGGAUAUAGUAUUGAUUACCUAAUUUUAAAAAUUUGCAAAUUGAAACAUUAUGACCGUCUGUCUACCUAGGUCAAUACGCACGUACUUUGUGUUGAAUCCAUUAUAUAUAUAGAUCGAAAACGGUAAAACCUUUAAUCUUCUCACUUCUUGUGUUGUUAAUUUAGUGAAACUGUCAAACUCGCUAGCUAACCGGCCAGUCUGGACACAAGUUGAUGAAAAAUAGGUCCAUGACAAAAAGAAUAAAUGGAUUCUUCACCACACAUGUGUAAUAUAUGAUAUAUAUAUCCUAUCUACCCCAAUUAUAAAGGCAACAGCUUGAUACAAGUGACUUGGGUAGGGUAUAUGGACUUACCCAUAUCCUAUCUUAUUUCACUAGGUUAAAAUCCAGGUCGAAUGAAAAUCUUUUAUCGAGAAAAAAUAUUUACUUAUAUAGAAAUAUAAAAAAGUGAUAAAUUCAUUGACUAUUUUCUAUUAAUUAUGUAAUUCAGUUAUAAAGUAAUUAACUAGAUACGUUUGUCAAAAAAUUGAUUGAUUUCCUUUAUUUCCAUCGUAAAUUUGGUAACAACAACUCUUCUUGUAACACUCACUAUAAGAAACACAGACUUGUAGGGACGAAAAUCAAGACCGUCUCUAGAAAGUCAACAAGAUGACUUUUAAGGACGUGGUGGGGACGGCUAUUUCCUAAAGAUCAUUAGGGACGGAUUUUGAUCGUCCUUAAAGAUCGUUUUUAUUGUGGUGACUCUAGAUCAAAAAAAAUACUGAUGUGUUUAACGAUCUUUUUAAGAAAUACCUUAAGAGACUUACUAAUAUGUUAUCUGUAUCUUUUUUUUGUCCAUACAUAUAUAUCACGACAAACAUCUAAUAACAUUUCAUAUCUUUUGAAUAUUGGUAUACCUUUUUUUUUUGAAUUAAAACUAUCUGGUAAUAUAUAAAUUUCAAAACAAAAAAGAGAUGCGAUCACUGCGAUCCACCCCACACCUUCCGCAUUGAUCCAGUUAAGUGAUCUUACGAUCGUUUAGACUUUCAACAACCUUUAAGGACUGAUUCAAUAUUAUUAGAACGAACUAUGUUUCAUCGUUCUCGCAUAGUGGAUUUUAGACAAUGGAUGUGGUGGUAAUAUUGGUAUACCUAAUUAUGUUUCAAAGGUAACUAACUAUAUAAGAAGAAGAAAAACAUAACCUACACGAUUUGGUCAGAUAAAAAAACUGGAGCCAGGUAUCAGGCACUACCCUACAUGAAGACCAGAGAGGAGGAGAAUAUUGAUUAAUUAAGGAAUCAAAAUGUUAAAAACUCCAAUUUAACUAAGAACAAAUCAAAUUCAGAGUUGUAGUAGAUUCUCUCUCAUGUACCAAUAUGAUAUCACUACACGAAAACUAGCUAAAAAUGGGGGAAUUUUUCCCUAUUUUUUUCGAAGUCAGAAAUGAAGGAAAAUAUUAGGUAUAAAUGGAGGAAUUUCCGUCAUUUUUAUCUAUGUUAUAUUUUUCAAAAAUUUAAAAUGACAGUGGAACCGAUAAGAAAUGACGGAAAAUCCCCCAAAUUUUAUAAAUUGGUUUUUUUGCACUUUUGGAUGUUAAUAUAAUUAAUGUUAAAAAAAUUAUAAGUUUAUAUCAAAUAUUUGUAAUAAAAAAUAGGGUUUAAAUAAUAUAUUUUGAAAUAUUAGAUUAUAAUGUUUAUAAACUCAAUUCCAUCCAAAUAAAAUAAUUAACCAAAUCAAUAUGAAAAAAAAUGAAUUAAUUAGACUCAAUUUAUGCCCAAACCCAUAUCAAUUAGAAUAAAAAUACCCAAAUCAAUAAGUUUAUCCCUAAAACGGUAAAACCCAAUCCCUAAAAUUAAUAAAACCCAAACCCUUCUUUCAACUCUCCUUGUAAUUAAAUCUCAUUCUCACUCUUGAAGGAAAUCCCCAAACCCUCGACAUUCCUUUCACAAAAGACUCCCCAAACCCUCCUUUCACUCUCGACGGAAAGUUCUCGACGGAGACAAUGCCCCAAAUAAGUUCUCGUUUUCCCUGAAGUUCUCAUUUUCCCUCUUACCAGAAACUCUCGACGGAAGGUUUUUUAAUCGCUCACUCACUGCAGGUUUGGUACUCCAACUUUUUUCUUUAUCCCUUUAGGUUUCAUUCUGAUCUCAGAUAGGUUUGAUCUGAUACGGAUAUCCACUAACAUCCUUCAAAGUCAUGAUAGCUGCCAUGCCUCUACAUCUCAGCAUACGAUCUGUCCUAAACCAUUCCCCCCUUAGAAUUCAUCUCGUAGAGUCUGGCGACUAUUGAAUCCCUUUUUUUUAACCCAAUCGUAAUUCUUGACAGAACAUUGCAUCCCUCUGGAACCCCAUUCUCUAAUCCUGUAGCGCGAAGAAGUGGGAGAAGAAAACGAAAGAGAAGGAUGGGAGAUGCGUUUAGAUCGGCCAUGAGAAGGUUUCAAGCUUUGAAGGUGCCGAGAUCCUUCAAAACAGGUACACUUUGACAAUUUUUUAUCUCUCUAUUUACUCCUUCAAAAUACAACUAACAAAGAAAUUUUUUUUUCUUUCUGUAUUUAGUUCUUUUGGAUUUUAUUACAUUUAUGCUUGGAUAUUUUCCUCUUCUAUUUUGGUUUGGUUGAUUUUAUUUUUGAAAAACCAGGGAUCUGGAACAAGUAAAUUUUGAUGUAGACAGUUUCUUUAGAACUUUAGAAUUAGUUGGCCAUGGAAGUGACAGUGAUGGUGAUUUUGAAGGGGAUGCUACAUCAUUGUCAUCAGAUACUGAUAUCGAUCCAGGUAGGCCCUGGUCUUUCUAUCCAUAGUUCCAUAUGAACUCCGAAGACUUCUCUCCUAUUAUAUGUUGUAGAUGAAAAUCUGGCAUGGUUUAAUGUUCAAGUGAAAAUGAUGGCUUCUUUUUAAACACCAAAUUUAACUUGAUUCUGAAGAUGAAGAAGGCAUGUAAAGAGAUUGUUAACAAAUCUGCAAUUGAUGUUGUUCUUUCUAAAGAGCUUCUGUGGAAUAUUUUAUCACUUNNNNNNNNNNNNNNNNNNNNNNNNNNNNNNNNNNNNNNNNNNNNNNNNNNNNNNNNNNNNNNNNNNNNNNNNNNNNNNNNNNNNNNNNNNNNNNNNNNNNNNNNNNNNNNNNNNNNNNNNNNNNNNNNNNNNNNNNNNNNNNNNNNNNNNNNNNNNNNNNNNNNNNNNNNNNNNNNNNNNNNNNNNNNNNNNNNNNNNNNNNNNNNNNNNNNNNNNNNNNNNNNNNNNNNNNNNNNNNNNNNNNNNNNNNNNNNNNNNNNNNNNNNNNNNNNNNNNNNNNNNNNNNNNNNNNNNNNNNNNNNNNNNNNNNNNNNNNNNNNNNNNNNNNNNNNNNNNNNNNNNNNNNNNNNNNNNNNNNNNNNNNNNNNNNNNNNNNNNNNNNNNNNNNNNNNNNNNNNNNNNNNNNNNNNNNNNNNNNNNNNNNNNNNNNNNNNNNNNNNNNNNNNNNNNNNNNNNNNNNNNNNNNNNNNNNNNNNNNNNNNNNNNNNNNNNNNNNNNNNNNNNNNNNNNNNNNNNNNNNNNNNNNNNNNNNNNNNNNNNNNNNNNNNNNNNNNNNNNNNNNNNNNNNNNNNNNNNNNNNNNNNNNNNNNNNNNNNNNNNNNNNNNNNNNNNNNNNNNNNNNNNNNNNNNNNNNNNNNNNNNNNNNNNNNNNNNNNNNNNNNNNNNNNNNNNNNNNNNNNNNNNNNNNNNNNNNNNNNNNNNNNNNNNNNNNNNNNNNNNNNNNNNNNNNNNNNNNNNNNNNNNNNNNNNNNNNNNNNNNNNNNNNNNNNNNNNNNNNNNNNNNNNNNNNNNNNNNNNNNNNNNNNNNNNNNNNNNNNNNNNNNNNNNNNNNNNNNNNNNNNNNNNNNNNNNNNNNNNNNNNNNNNNNNNNNNNNNNNNNNNNNNNNNNNNNNNNNNNNNNNNNNNNNNNNNNNNNNNNNNNNNNNNNNNNNNNNNNNNNNNNNNNNNNNNNNNNNNNNNNNNNNNNNNNNNNNNNNNNNNNNNNNNNNNNNNNNNNNNNNNNNNNNNNNNNNNNNNNNNNNNNNNNNNNNNNNNNNNNNNNNNNNNNNNNNNNNNNNNNNNNNNNNNNNNNNNNNNNNNNNNNNNNNNNNNNNNNNNNNNCUCAGCCCUCUGAGUCAUAUUUACCAGGCAAGUCGCGUCACGCUGUUCGAGUUGCUUCUCAACAGCAACAGGGAGAAGAUGAGGGUGGUUGGCAAGGAUCUGUGAGAGAAAUUGACCAACGGGAGAUUCCAUUGAAGAGGAGCAAUGGAAAGGCUUGAAGAAUCUGUUGGAUCAGUGGGGACUGAAUUUGACGCUGCCGCCUUGAUUGCGGUUGAACUUAGAAUUACGACCACCGUGACCAUGUUUCCAAGAUUCUGACUGUAAACAGUGUAAAGUAUUCACAAAUCACAGAAAUUAGACACGGAUCUACAAAAUCUAAUUCGACACAUAUUUGGGGGAAAUAAAUACCCUAGAAUUUGCGACCUAAUCAACUGAACGCGAACCCUAAUCUCAUCAAACAAAAAAGAAGAUCAAAUCAAACUUACCUUGAGCCAUCCGGUGGAAAACGCA